rnacentral:rRNA from 1 species
UACGUAGGAUGCAAGCGUUGUCCGGAUUGACUGGGCGUAAAGCGCACGCAGGCGGACGCGCGCGUGGGGUGUGAAAUCUGGCCGCUUAACGGCCAGGCGCCAUCCCAUACGGCGCGUCUGGAGCCUUGCAGAGGUCGGUGGAAUUGCCGGUGUAGUGGUGAAAUGCGCAGAUAUCAGGAAGAACACCUAUGGCGAAGGCAGCUCUCUGGGACGGUACUGACGCUGAGACGCGAAAGCGUGGGGAGCGAACAGG